rnacentral:tRNA from 1 species
GCCUGCCUAGCUCAAUCGGAUAGAGCGUCAGACUCUUACGACGUCUGCUCCGGCGGAAAACAUACGAUCUGAAGGCUGCGAGUUCGACCCUCGCGGUGGGCU